rnacentral:rRNA from 1 species
AGAGUUUGAUCCUGGCUCAGAACGAACGCUGGCGGCAGGCUUAACACAUGCAAGUCGAACGCUCGUAGCAAUACGGGAGUGGCGGACGGGUGAGUAACGCGUGGGAACGUGCCCUGAGGUACGGAAUAACUGAGGGAAACUUCAGCUAAUACCGUAUGAGCCCCGAGAGGGGGAAAGACUUAUCGCCUUGGGAGCGGCCCGCGUCGGAUUAGCUAGUUGGUGGGGUAACGGCCUACCAAGGCUUCGAUCCGUAGCUGGUCUGAGAGGACGAUCAGCCACACUGGGACUGAGACACGGCCCAGACUCCUACGGGAGGCAGCAGUGGGGAAUCUUGCGCAAUGGGGGCAACCCUGACGCAGCCAUGCCGCGUGAACGAUGAAGGCCUUAGGGUUGUAAAGUUCUUUUACCCGUGACGAUGAUGACGGUAACGGGGGAAUAAGCUCCGGCUAACUUCGUG